rnacentral:rRNA from 1 species
CGUGGAUUGAUUUGUCUGGUUAAUUCCGAUAACGAACGAGAUUGGAGCUUAAUUAAAUAGAAAGAUCAUUUUUACCUUUUUUCUUCUUUACGGGAGACUUAAAAGCGUGAUUCUUUUCUUCUUAAUGGGAUUUGCGGCGUUCCAGUCGUAAGAAACCCAGCAAUAACAGGUCUGUGAUGCCCUAAGAUGUCUGGGGCUGCACGCGCGCUACAAUGAAAAUUGCAGCGCGUGUGACCAUAACCGAAAGGUUUUGGUAAACGAGUCAAAUUAUUCCGUAUUUGGGAUCGAAUAUUGUAAUUAUUAUUCGUGAACGAGGAACUUCAAGUAAGUGUAAGUCAUCAGCUUACGCUGAUUACGUCCCUGCCCUUUGUAC